rnacentral:rRNA from 1 species
UACGUAGGGUGCGAGCGUUAAUCGGAAUUACUGGGCGUAAAGCGUGCGCAGGCGGUUUUGUAACCGAACGUACGACGUAGUAAAGUUCCCCGGGGAAACUUCCCCCGGGAACCCUUUAACCGGGUAAGGGUAACGGUCGGCCUUAGUUUUGGAAAACCUUAGGGUCCGAAACGUACGGGUUAGGUAGGGUCGACGGGACGGGGGGUAAGGAAAGGGGGUUACCUACGGGUAAGUUUACCGGCCGUAGGUUAGGAAACUAGGUCGGUAAAAGUAGGACGUUAGGUAGGUAAGGUAAGUACCCGGGAAGGUAACGGACCCGAAAAGGUCGGACGGAACCCCCCGGUCGGGAACCGUA